AAUUCCAGGUGUAGCGGUGAAAUGCGUAGAGAUCUGGAGGAAUACCGGUGGCGAAGGCGGCCCCCUGGACGAAGACUGACGCUCAGGUGCGAAAGCGUGGGGAGCAAACAGGAUUAGAUACCCUGGUAGUCCACGCCGUAAACGAUGUCGACUUGGAGGUUGUGCCCUUGAGGCGUGGCUUCCGGAGCUAACGCGUUAAGUCGACCGCCUGGGGAGUACGGCCGCAAGGUUAAAACUCAAAUGAAUUGACGGGGGCCCGCACAAGCGGUGGAGCAUGUGGUUUAAUUCGAUGCAACGCGAAGAACCUUACCUGGUCUUGACAUCCACGGAAGUUUUCAGAGAUGAGAAUGUGCCUUCGGGAACCGUGAGACAGGUGCUGCAUGGCUGUCGUCAGCUCGUGUUGUGAAAUGUUGGGUUAAGUCCCGCAACGAGCGCAACCCUUAUCCUUUGUUGCCAGCGGUCCGGCCG
rnacentral:rRNA from 1 species